ACACUUACCUGGCAAGAGAGGUACCAUGAUCACGAAGGUGGUUUAUUCAGGGUGCGGCUCAUCCACUGCACUCCAGGUGUGCUGACCCCUGCGAUUUCCCCAAAUGCAGGAAACCCGACUGUGUGAUUUGCGGUAGUUGGGGGCUACGUUCAUACUUUCCCCCGA
ensembl:snRNA U1 U1 spliceosomal RNA